AGUGGCGCACGGGUGCGUAACGCGUAUGCAAUCUGCCUCUCACAGGGGGAUAGCCCGGGGAAACCCGGAUUAAUACCGCAUAAGAUCAUGGUUUGGCAUCAAGCAGUGAUUAAAGAUUUAUCGGUGAGAGAUGAGCAUGCGUGCCAUUAGCUAGUUGGUAGUGUAACGGACUACCAAGGCAACGAUGGCUAGGGGUUCUGAGAGGAAGAUCCCCCACACUGGUACUGAGAUACGGACCAGACUCCUACGGGAGGCAGCAGUAGGGAAUAUUGGGCAAUGGAGGCAACUCUGACCCAGCCAUGCCGCGUGCAGGAAGAAGGCCCUCCGGGUUGUAAACUGCUUUUGACAGGGAAGAAAAGGCUCUACGUGUAGGGCAAUCGACGGUACCUGUAGAAUAAGCACCGGCUAACUCCGUGCCAGCAGCCGCGGUAAUACGGAGGGUGCAAGCGUUGUCCGGAUUUAUUGGGUUUAAAGGGUGCGUAGGCGGCGCUAUAAGUCAGUAUURARAGACGGCAGCUCAACUGUCGGGCUGGUAUUGAUACUG
rnacentral:rRNA from 1 species